rnacentral:tRNA from 1 species
GGGGAGAUGCCAGAGUGGACGAUUGGGGCCGCCUGCUAAGCGGUUAACGGUCUAAACAGCCGUUCCAGGGUUCGAAUCCCUGUCUCCCCG